rnacentral:rRNA from 1 species
UACGUAGGGUGCGAGCGUUAAUCGGAAUUACUGGGCGUAAAGCGUGCGCAGGCGGUCUGUUAAGACCGAUGUGAAAUCCCCGGGCUUAACCUGGGAACUGCAUUGGUGACUGGCAGGCUUUGAGUGUGGCAGAGGGAGGUAGAAUUCCAGGUGUAGCGGUGAAAUGCGUAGAUAUCUGGAGGAAUACCGGUGGCGAAGGCGGCAUCCUGGACCAUUACUGACGCUGAGGCGCGAAAGCUAGGGGAGCAAACGGGG